GUUUCAACCAGCGCCAAGAGUGAGAAACUACAACGGACCAACUGUGCCAAGUUUGGGCCGCAAACAUGAAGCUUAGGUUUCUGUCUGCAAUGGGUGCCAAGGACCUGAAGUUGACAGUGUGGCGGAUGCUACAUUGCAUUCUGUCAAACCAUCUUGCCAUCUUCACAACCUAGACUGGUGCAGGGGAUACGGCCUGUUUCGGGGACUUGUUUCUGAAGACAAUUCUUCACAGAGCCAUUUGGAAAAACCCUGCCACCCGGGAUGCCAGGGAUGAGGGGGUCCAGAUUCAGGUCACCCAUUACCUGAAAGGGGCCUCUGAUUGUGAAGUCGGGAGGCAGUGGCACACAGGGGAGAGGGAUCCGCUGCAGUGAGGGUCAACAUCAAGUCUCGGACCACCUGUCUCAAAGCCAGCCUCUACCCCAAAGCCAUAAGACUGUUUCAACAGCUGAACCCUGGGCUGACUAGUGCACCCUUCCACACACUUUCAUAUUUUGUACACACUGAAAUCACUUUUGUCUACCGGACCAAUACAACAGUUAUGUCACCUUACUGCACUACUAAUGUAUAUACUUUUAUAUAAUUCGAUGCUGCUGCCUCCCGAGUGGCGCAGCGGUCUAAGGCACUGCAUCGCAGUGCUUGAGGCAUCACUACAGACCCGUGUUC